GGGGUGUGCGUGUGUGUGCAUGUGUGUGCUGUGUUAUAUGCAGGCGUGUGCAUGUGUGCACCAGAGUGUGUGUGUGUGCAAAUGCAUGAUGGGGUGUGCGUGUGUGUGUGCAUGGGCAUGUGUGCACUGGAGUGUCUGUGCAUGCAUGCAUGUGUAUAUGUGUGCUGGGGUGGGAGCAUGUGUGUGCUGUGUUUUGUAUGUGCCUGUGUCCGCUGGGGUGUGCAUGUUCGUGAGCAUGUGUGCACUGGCAUGUGCAUUUGCUGCAUGUGUCUGCUGGGCUGUGCGUGUGCUUGUGCAUACUGGGGCGUGAGCCUGCAUGUGCAUGUGCACAUGUGUGCUAGGGUGCACAUGUGUGCUGGUGCGUGCGUGUGCCUGUACAUGUGUGCAUUGCAGCGUAUGCUUUCAUGUGCAUGUGUGUGCUGGGGUGCACAUGUGCGCAGGGGUGUGCACGUGCAUACGUAUGUGGAUGUGUGCACCGUGUACGUAUGUGCAUGCACGUGUGCACUGGGGGGGUGUGGGAUGCGAGCAGGCAUGUCUAUAUGUGCAUAGGGGUGUGCAUGUAUGCACUGGCAUGCGUGUGUGCACAUGCGUGUGUGCACAGAGGGGGCCGUGCACAUGCCUGUGUGCGCUGGAGUGUGUGUGUGUGCAUGUGCACAUAAGCACAUGCACAGGGGUGGGUGUGUGCAUGAGCAGGUACAUGGACGUGUGCGCUGGGGUGCGGGACUACGUGCGAACUGGUGUUUGUGCACGUGCAUUGGUGUGGGGGGGGGCUGGGCACGUGCGUGUGUGCCUGGGGGGCGGUGCACGGGCACACGCGUUGCGCGUGGGGCCGCCGGGGCGGCGUGCGGGGCUCGGCGCGCUCCCUGGGUGCACCGGGGACCCCUGCCUCCCUCCGCUCCUGCGGAGGGGGAACACGAUGUCAUCGGGGUUCUGACAUCAUCAUAGCCGCUCCUUCUGACGUCAGCCCGGUUCUGCUCCCGGCUUCCGCGCCGGGGCGCGCCGCAGGGCGCAGCGGCACCUCGAGGUGCUGCCCGCCGAGCGCUGCCCGGAGCCCCCGGGCUCCCCGGCACGGGGCGGGAGCCAGAAACGCCCGCCGGCCCCCGCGACGCACCCCGGGGCCGGCGCCCCGCCGCUGCCCGCAGCCGCUCGGGAUUUUACCGGGCUCUUUUCUCCCCUUUCAGACCCCACGGGGCGGAAACCUGCCCCCCGGGGCGCCGCCGCGCAGCCGCCGCCGGUGCCCGUCCCGCCGCCGGGGAUGCUGCGGGAAGGCGCCGGAGAGGAGGCGCGGGUGACCAGGUGCGGAGCCGCCGGCGGGCUCUUUCCCCGGCUAGCGGGGGGCUAAGGCGGCCCGUCUCCCCCUGCCCGGGCCCAGGCCCGCGUCCGGCGGGGCGACCCCGGCGCCAGCCCCCCGCGCGUCGCGACCUGCUGCAGCCCGAAAGCGAGAGGCGGCAGCGGCGGCGGCUGAAGGUCGAGCGCCCCGAAGGGUGGUUUAAAGCCGGGGGGGGGGGUGUCCUCGGUUGGGUGCGAUGCCUUCGCCGCCCCCUUUGCCUGGCCGGGCCCCCCAGUCCCUGCCGGCGAAUUUGUGCCUCGCAGGAGCUCGCCGAGGGCCUGGCUUCGCCGGCGGAGCAGGCGCAGGUCUGCGCGGCGCAGGUGAGGGGACGGCGGAGCAUCGCGGGGGGCGGCGAGACCCCGGUCGCGCUGCCCCGCUCUGCAGCCGGGACAGGGAGGAGGGAAGGGCUUCGCCCGCUGCCGCCCCGGCCGGGCGCCCCGGCCCGGGCUUUGCUCUUUGCACCGGCCCCGCGGCUCCCUCCUGCCGCGCUCCGACCCCCCUCUUGCAGGCUCUGCCCCCCAGGCCCUCGGCUGCCUCGGGAGCACGGAGGAGCCCGUCCUGGCCGCUCUCCUGAGCACGUACGUAGCGCUGGCGGCAGCACCGGGCCCCGACGUGCUUUCGGGGCGGUUCCGCCUGCUUGGUGCCGGCGGAGACCCCGGGGUGCGGGAUCAGCCCGCAGCUGGGUUACGGGGGGAAGGGGGCGGUGCGGGGGGCGGCAGCAGAGCCGCCGGGUGCCGGGCGCUUGGGUGCCGCCGGGCUCUGCCGGUUGGUUUCUGUUCCAGCUGCGCGGAUGCAGCAGAGCGCCGGUGCGGUACGAAGUCACCCGGGGCCUCGUCCGCCUGGGCUGCCUGGAGGCGGCGGUGGCGGAGGAGCUGCUCGGGCGCCUGCGGGACGGAGGCCCCGCGCAGAGCGCGGACUUGCUGCUGGCGCUCGGCGGCGCCCUGCGCGCCCGCGCCGACGCUGCCAACCUGCUGCGGCUGCCGGGGCGCGAGUGCCUCGGCCCGGA
rnacentral:lncRNA from 1 species